rnacentral:rRNA from 1 species
GAUGAACGCUGGCGGCGUGCUUAACACAUGCAAAUCGAACGAGGUCCAACCUUCGGGUGAAGACCGAGUGGCGAACGGGUGAGUAACACGUGGGGAACCUGCCCUUCUCUCUGGGAUAACCUCGGGAAACCGAAGCUAAUACCGGAUACUCCUCGCGGACCGCAUGGUCUGCUCGGGAAAGCUCCGGCGGAGAAGGAUGGCCCCGCGGCCCAUUAGCUUGUUGGUGGGGUAACGGCCCACCAAGGCGACGAUGGGUAGCCGAGCUGAGAGGCUGAUCGGCCACACUGGGACUGAGACACGGCCCAGACUCCUACGGGAGGCAGCAGUGGGGAAUCUUGCGCAAUGGGCGAAAACCUGACGCAGCAACGCCGCGUGCGGGAUGAAGGCUCUCGGGUCGUAAACCGCUUUCAGCAGGGAUGAAAAUGACAGUACCUGCAGAAGAAGCCCCGGCUAAAUACGUGCCAGCAGCCGCGGUAAUACGUAUGGGGCAAGCGUUAUCCGGAUUCAUUGGGCGUAAAGCGCGCGUAGGCGGCUUGUUAAGUCAGGCGUGAAAUCCGGGGGCUCAACCCGCGGCUUGCGUCUGAAACUGGCAGGCUUGAGUCUGGUAGAGGAAAGUGGAAUUCCUGGUGUAGCGGUGAAAUGCGCAGACAUCAGGAGGAACACCAGUGGCGAAGGCGGCUUUCUGGGCCACGGCUGACGCUGAGGCGCGAAAGCUAGGGGAGCGAACA